rnacentral:lncRNA from 1 species
CGGGACCCCCUUCCCGCGGGGCUCCUGGGUCUCCGGGGCCGAGCGAGACCCCCGAAUCCCGGUGCGGGCCGGGACCAGGGCGCGGCCGCACCCCCCACCCACCCCGGCGCGGGGGCCCGGCCGCGGGAACGCCCUCCCGGAAUGAAGCGCUUCCCGGUGCCUUCAAGGUAGCUCGGUUCCGGAUCGGGAACCCCCCCGGUCUUCCCUCUCAGGUCCCUGCUGUCCAGAAUUGAAGAGAACCCCAAUCUCCUCGGGUCGGGCGGGAGAUAGCCCUAGUGCUCCCCAGUCCCCACAUGCUCCAUUUCCCCAGUCGGAGCGAGAAGCCGCCCUCAGAGCCCCCAGUUUCCUCCCAACCUAAUUUACAGCCCCCCACCCCCACCCCAGGGCUCUAAUUUAGAGCCCUCGCUCCGUUCCCAGGAUCCCAUAUCCAGUUUGGGGGACCCACUCAGUGCCUCGCGUCCCGAGUGGGGAACCUCCAUCAGCACCCCAGUAGAAACCGUAUCCUCUUCCCCAAUCCGUCCUCAGCCCUUGGUGUCCAAAGUGAGAGUCCCCCUUAGUUUCCCCAAAUCCCUGCCGUCCACAUUAGUGGACCCUAUGGUCUGUUGAGAAAAUCCCGCGCCCCAAGCCCGGGUUCUCAGUUUGCCGCCACCCCCACCUCCCGGUGUGAGGAGUCUCCCCUGGUUCUCUCCCUCCCUGGCCGGUUUUUGUGAGAUCCAUUCAGACUCCUGUCCUGAUUCGGGAAACCCGGUUCCAGACACUCACCACCCCCACCACACCGAGGCUGGAGGAAAAGGCAGUGCCUCUUAGAGCCUCCUGUUUCCAGUUUAGGAGCCCAACGCCUCAGCUGUGCACCGUCCCCUCCGAAUGACCCCCUUCUUUUGCAGAGGUCUAAGCUCCACCCCAUCCCAUUGGAAGAGCCUAAACUACCUACCCACUGCAUUUGGAAUGACUUCCCUCAGUCCCUCUUAUUUUGAGGCUACUCCCCGUGAAGGCAAACACCUUCCUUUCUACCCCCAUCUUCUGGGUCUCUGGGAUCCCCCAGUACUUGCACCCAAGGCUCCUUGGAGUCACCUUACGUACCCCUAAAAUUCCCUCCCUCCAGCCUGGGAACAACCCUGAGAAAGUAUUCUGGUUCACCAGGGGAGCUGCGGGGCCACUCUCCUUAUCCCCACCUCUCCUUAUCCCCGCCUCUCCAUAUCCCCACCUCUCCAUAUUCCCACCUCUCCAUAUCCAAGCCUUAGGACCCUUCACUUCCCCAGCUGAAACCAGCCAAAAAAGGAUCAAACCAGGAAGCUUAGGUGGCCAACACCCCUUCUCCCCAUCCCUGCUGGGGGUCUCAGUGCCACACAAGCCCCUCCCUCCCAACUCACCUUCUACUCCUUCCCCCAUCCCUACCUUAAUCCAUCCGGUGUAAUCCAGUGACAACCCAUGUUGACAAGCCCUUUGCUGUUCACCUUCACAUUCCAUCCUGAAUUCAACACCUUUUAUUCCUGGGCAUCAUAACUCUGACCUCUGGAAGGGUGCCCAUCCCCCUCUUGAUAGCCCUCCUUCCCUCUCCCCACCCCAACCAUCAGGCAGAGAAGAAAGUGAGAGACUUACAGUAAUGGUUUCCUUGGGGACCUUCUGGGAAUGCUCAGCAGGUAUAUCCUGCCACCCUGUGAGCAUAACACUAGAAACAAACUUGCUUUUUCCUGUUUGUGUCCCCUACUCUGCCCCACAGUUUCUCAGCAUCCCCUGGACUGGGGACUGGAGGGCCACCCACACAAGGCAUUUCUUACCAUUCCGACACAAAAGCAUUCCAGUUUGUGUUGUAGCAGAGACACAGAUGAGGGUGAGCAGGUAGCCUCUGCGGUAUUAGGGAGGUGACUCUUCUUAGGUCUGAACUUAAAAAGGGUCAUUGGAGAGGUGCGGGGAGUAGGGAUCUUCCAGUGUUCCUGGACUUUGGUUUGUGUGCUGGUGCUGCUGGGCAGAUGAGCUUGAAGGAUAGGAAAUGGGUCCUUUCCGGCAGUGGCGACCUACCCACGAGAACAUGCCUCUCGACAGGGAUCUCCUUCAUCCUUCUCCAGAAGAGAAGAGGAAACAGAAGAAGAAACGCCUGGUGCAGAGUCCCGAUUCCUACUUCAUGGAUAUGACAUGCCCAGGAUGCUAUAAAAUCACCAUGGUCUGUAGCCAUGCACAAACGGUAGUUUUGUGUGUUGCCUGCUCCACUGUUCUCUGCCAGCCUACAGGAGGAAAAGGAAGGCUACAGAAGGAUGUUCCUUCAG